CCAAGUGAAUUAGCUGACCUGCAAGCCCGAGAAAUAUGAAAAAACGUUCGAGAGCUAAGGAACGGCACCGCAAGAAGUGUAAAUAUGGCCCGUGCAAAGGCUCUUCGCGUUUUAAGGCAAAACUUAUGUAAUUUAUAUGUGCCUAAAAUUAAGUGGACAAGUACAUGUUCAUAAUCGACAAGAUGGAAAGGUACUUCUGCA
rnacentral:lncRNA from 1 species